GAGCUUUGAAACAAACAAAAAUAUCUAGAAUUUUAAUUCAGAAAAUCAUGUAACAUCAGUGAGUGUUGUUCUUUCCACGGAAGAAGCAGAUAUUGAUGCAUGACUGCAUGAGAUAUAUACUAAACGCUGUCCAAAAGGUUUUAGGCCCCUCGUCAUCCAUUCUCCGGUAACUCUGUUUAGGCCACUUGACUCUUGAUCAGUGAUCCCAAGGUACUAGUUUCUGAAUUUGUUUGAACAACCAGUUGUCUUAAGAAAGACAUAAACUCAUGUUUUAAUAAAGAGCCUAUACCAACUCUAGCUAUAGAAUGACAAUUCCACGCGUCCAAUGAUACAAGAGCUAGAGAUGAAUAUAUAUAUAUAUAUAUAUAUAUAUAUGCACUUUUACUUUAUCUCACAAUCAAUAUCAUCAGAAGGAGCUUUCAAUUCUUUAAGCUUCGAGGAAGAAAAAAAAAACAUUUUGUGAGUCCACAAAAACCAAAACGAAAAGAGUAUGAACAACACUCAUGUAUGCCUCUCACCAGUCCCCCACCAUCGGUGAAUCCUUUUCAGAAGAAAAGGCAAAACACAAGCAUACACCAUAAUGUGAAUGUCCUCUCUAUCUUGACGCAAGCACACAAGUAAGCUUGCUUGCUUUUGGACGCAUUCAAAUCUCUAAGAGGGCUAUAAAAGUAUAUAUUAUCGGACCUACAUAAACAAGGUUAUCAAAUGAGGUGAGUACAGGUUUUGACUGUAUUAUUGGCCAACAUCCAUCUGCAUCACCACCACUAACAAGCUUCGACCGUACGUCUAGUGAGGUUUAUGGCAAAAUUUGACAAGUCAACAAAAUUAAAAAAAAUGGGAUAAGUUGCAAAAUAGUCAGUUUUUUCAAACAUAAUUAUAAAACUAGAACAUUCACUAUUUACAAUUAGCAAAAUAUCCAAUUUUCACUAUUUGCUAUUAUUUGCAAUGUUAUUUAUGAGUAUACUACCGAAGUUAUAUUUGAUAUUUUAAAUAAAAAGAAAUACAUAAUGUGAUUCUUAUAACACAUUUAAUUUUAACGUACAGAUGUACAAAAAUAUACAUUUACAGUCAUGCAAAAUAUACAUUAUAUUAGCUGAUUUAAAAUGUGUAUAUUUCUAUAAAAAAAAAAGCUAACCUUUAAUACUUUUACUAAAAAACAGAGAUUCUUCUACCAGAAAAGCCUUAAAAUAUAUAUUUCUUAAAAACGAAUCUCUAAGAAAAUCAAAAGAAAACAAAUGUAUACCCACAUGUUAAGUGAGUCUUUUGUUUACUAAUUCUUUCUAAAACUGCUUUUACAAGAAGAGUGACCCACACGUUAAGUCAGUCUUUGUUUACUAAUUCUUUUCUUGUUUCUGUUUGACGCAUGAUCUUUGAUUCUUUUCGAUAAGUAAAAUAAACCUCAUGAACAAGUCAUUGGAGCCCACUUUAACUCUAUUUUUCUUUGUUCUUUCUUGUUUGUUAUUAUAUUACUUAGAAACUUCCACGUUGUAACAAAGGAAGUAUCCAAGCUACUUCCUUGCGUCCAUUAGUCUCCACUCCGGUUCCCACUUCCCCACCAAUUAUAAAUUCAGAGUGUUUGGGUUUACUCAAAAACACAAAAACAUCCAAAACAAGAUGAGCUCCUCUGACUCUUCUUCCGCGGAAUCCCGUCUAGCCACGGCUAAGACGGUUCUCACCACCGCGGCUUCGGUGGCUGCAACCGCAAUGCUGGCUCGAUCUUUACUCCAAGAUUAUUUGCCUGACGAGGUGCACGACUAUAUUUCCUAUGGAUUCCGUUCCAUCUUUGGUUACUUCUCCUCCCAAAUGACAAUAAUCAUCGAAGAAUUUGAAGGUUUUGCUCACAAUGAAGUCUUUGAGGCUGCAGAGGCCUAUCUAGCCACCAAGAUCUCUCCUUCUAAUAAAAGAAUCAAAGUGAGUAAACACGAGAAAGAAAACAACUACAAUGUCACCGUGGAGCGUGACGAAGAAGUUGUUGACACCUACAAUGGCGUCAAAUUCCAGUGGAUCCUCCAUUGUCGCCAUGUUGAGUCCAAGAACUUCCACAACCCACGGGAUCUAAACUCGACAAUGAGAUCUGAGGUCCGAUCAUUCGAGCUCAACUUCCACAAGAAAUUCAAAGACAUAGCUCUUGAAUCUUACUUGCCAUUCAUGGUGAAAAGAGCAACGUUAAUGAAGCAAGAGAAGAAAACACUCAAGAUCUUCACUCUCUCCCCAGAAAACAUGUAUGGGAACUACUCUGACGCGUGGACCUCUGUUUCUCUUGACCAUCCUUCUACCUUCAAAACUCUAGCAAUGGAUGCAGAUGUCAAGACAAGUGUGAUGGAAGAUCUAGACAAAUUCGUAAAGCGAAGAGACUUCUAUAAAAGGGUUGGUAAAGCUUGGAAGAGAGGUUACUUGCUGUACGGUCCACCGGGCACAGGGAAGUCAAGCUUGAUCGCAGCCAUGGCCAAUCAUCUCAACUUUGAUAUUUACGACCUAGAGUUGACCGCGGUUAACAACAAUUCUGAGCUCCGGCGAUUAUUGAUUGCCACUGCUAAUCGUUCGAUUCUUAUUGUAGAAGAUAUCGAUUGUUCACUAGAAUUGAAAGAUAGGACUAGUGAUGAACCUCCUCGGGAAUCUGACGAUGUAGAAGAUCCACGGUAUAAAAAAGUGACACUCUCUGGACUGUUGAAUUUCAUAGAUGGUCUAUGGUCAAGCUGCGGUGACGAAAGGAUCAUAAUAUUCACAACAAAUUACAAAGACAAACUCGACGCGGCCUUGUUGAGGCCAGGACGUAUGGAUAUGCACAUCCACAUGUCGUAUUGCACACCGAGUACCUUCAAAGCUCUUGCUUCAAACUAUCUAGAGAUCAAAGAGCACCGCCUUUUCAGCAAGAUCGAGGAAGGUAUUGAGGCGACAGAGGUUACUCCAGCAGAGGUGGCUGAACAGCUUAUGAGGAAUGACUCUGUUGAUAAGGUUCUUGAGGGUUUAGUUGAGUUCUUGAAAGUCAAGAAGAUCGAAAACGAACAAGAUAAGGCCAAAAAGGAGAAGCAGGAGUUGGAGAACAAGGAAAAGACCAACAAGGGAAAAGAUUCGGGAGUCAAGAAAAGUACCGAAGACGUUGAGGAACAGCUAGUGAGGAAUGACCGUGUUGAUAAGAUUCUUGAGGGUUUGGUCGAGUUGUUAAAAGUCAAGAAGAUCGACAACGACCAAGAUAAAAGCCAAACAUGAGGAGGUGAGCAACAUUAACUUGUGAGAUUUGGAAGAGAAUUAACGAGAGAUCAAUACCUAAAUCACUAAAUCGCCAACGACCGUAGUUACUGUCGCAACCUCCAGAUUCCUAUAAUCCUAUAUAAUCUAGUCCUAAGAUUUCGAGAUUCGAUCCGAUUAUAGAGAAUUUAGAAAGUAAGUCAAAUUCAGAGCAUAAACUCCUAAAGAUCAAGCGAUUACGCAAGUAAAACAUAAAUAAGAGAACCGAUCUGAUAUAAUCCAGAGACCAAAAAAUAGAACAAGGGAAAUUUGAAGAGAUCAGUUAGAAUACCUCUGAAUCCGAGUGGUAGCUGUAA
rnacentral:lncRNA from 1 species